rnacentral:lncRNA from 12 species
AGAACACUCAGCUGCUGAGGAUUUGCUGACUCAGAGCUCUGCAAAACCUACCUGAUCAAGCAUCAUCCUUAUCCAGCUCAGAAAAAAAGGAGUGAUCAGUUCCACUCAAGACUCACACAAGGUACAGAAGAGAUCUGUUAUUUCAAGAACUGUUAGGAAUGGACAGGCAAGGACACGUCAAUUCACAGCCUGUGCAGAGCAAUCCAGAGCAGCCUGGAUCCACAAGGUAACUUCCUCCGCAGUAAUUUCAAGUUAACCAUGGGUUUAUAUCAUGG